rnacentral:rRNA from 1 species
UACGUAGGCAGCGAGCGUUGUUCGGAGUUACUGGGCGUAAAGAGUGCGUAGGCGGUUUUCUAAGUUUGGUGUGAAAUCUCCCGGCUUAACUGGGAGGGUGCGCCGAAAACUGGAAGGCUUGAGUAUGGGAGAGGUAAGCGGAAUUCCUGGUGUAGCGGUGAAAUGCGUAGAUAUCAGGAGGAACACCUGCGGUGUAGACGGCUUACUGGACCAUAACUGACGCUGAGGCACGAAAACGUGGGUAGCAAACAGG